CCCCGCGACAAUGUGGCUCAUUGAGGAGGUUCCCCUGCCCACGAGUGACGCGGCGCCGCCGCCGCCGCUGAUUGGCUGAGCCGCGAGGAUCUCAUUCCAAGGAGGGGGUGAAUCCAAAGCAGAACCAGAGGGACGGACCCAGACCCAUUUUCCCAGCAGAUCCCGACCCCACAUCCCAGUUUAUCCAGGAUUUUGCUUAAAUCUGCUGCUUUUUCAUCUUUUUCCCUCCCAUUUCACUUCACCCCCUCAUCCAGCUUGAUGGGUUGGGUUGUUGGGUUUUUUUGCUAAACACCUGAAUUUAAUAAAUUAUUAUCAUUAAA